rnacentral:lncRNA from 1 species
UAAUGACAGUAUCCAUUUGGGUAAAAAAGUGUCAACAGCACACAGUAAUCAGCACUGAAUUCAGGAGUGAGCUACUACUUUUAUUUUUGUGGGAUAACCAAUCAGGGCCAACACAUCCAACCAAGGAAAUAGACACGGGAAUCAAUACCUCCAAAAAGCAGAAAGGGGGCUGGGGAUGUAGCUCAGUUGGUAGAAUGUUUGCCUAGCAUGCACAACGCCCUGGAUUCAAUCCCCAGCAACACACACACACACACACACACACACACAAAAUCCCAGAAAGACUUGCAACAACAGCCCUUCUCAAUUCUCAGUGUGAGGCUGGCCCUAUUUCUUGGCCAUGUGAUCUGGGUCUGGCCAAUCAGUAUUUCUCAUCACAUUCACUUUGGUCCAAAGAUGGACACUUAAUCUCAGUCAGAAUAAUCAUACUCAAUCAUGGGAAUUCUGCUGGAGCUAUUGAGAAAGACUACCUCCCUUUCUUUCUGCUAGAGUUACUAAGGUGAUAAGACAUAAUGAUGCUGCUACUGGGAGCUAUUUUGCGUCCUCUGGGGGAGAGUCUGUCUGAGACUGAUUUCCAGAGGGAAAUGCAGAGCUGGAAGAGAGACAGAAAGAAAAAGAUGUCUACUGACAUCAUUUGCUCUCUGGCUCCAGCUAUAUUGAUCUGACCUUUCUGGCUAUAGACUCAAAUAUUACCUUUUUUUGACUAAACCAGUUUGAGUUUAGUUUCUGUCGUUUGUAAUUGAGAAUCCUCAUGAGAACAUUUUUCUUAUGAUCAAGGGUACCUUUUUUUUUUUUUUUGGUUAGAGGAUUUCCUCAAGCUACAGGGGUUUUGCUGUGUUUAUGUAAAUGUUUUUCUUCUCUGAAACUUCUGUAAAUGGUUUUUCUCCAUCACAUAGAGACUCAGACAGAACCAAGUUUAUGAAGUAACCAGACAGAUUAGGAGACAGGUUAGAGAGAAAUGAUACCAAUUAGUUCAUUGUGAAAGAGUCAUGGUUGCUGAGGAAGAGGCUCAUUGAUUAUCAGGGUCAUCUGGAUUUCAUGGUCUGAGUGAGCUGGAACGGAGUAGUUUGGGGACUGGAGUAGCACAGUACUGCCUUGUAGAUGUUGCCCUGGAACUGCAAAUGGGGUGGGGGAGAUUAAAAAUAGGCUGCUUUACUCUCCUUCUCUUUCAGUCUGCCUCUCACAAUUGUUGCCACUGAGAAUUUUAGAAACUACCUGCAGAUCUCAAUCUUUGAUAACACUUCUGAUAAUAAUCCUACCUUUUACCCCCGGACUAAGACUCCUAUAAGCAUGAUGUAAUCAUCUGAUUUCAAUUGGCCCAGCCAUCUGGAAAAGGUGCCUUUCAAUCAUCCGCUUGCACUGGAACUAAGCCUAAGAUUACCACAUCUAUAUUUAGUGACUUCUAAUCACAGUAUCAAUAAAUAUGGCUUCUCAUUGCAAAGCUGGAUAAUUGCACUUAUUCUUGUUAGCAUCUCAUGUGCC